GUUGUUGGGUAGGGGAGCGUUCUGUAAGCCUGCGAAGGUGUGCUGUGAGGCAUGCUGGAGGUAUCAGAAGUGCGAAUGCUGACAUAAGUAACGAUAAAGCGGGUGAAAAGCCCGCUCGCCGGAAGACCAAGGGUUCCUGUCCAACGUUAAUCGGGGCAGGGUGAGUCGACCCCUAAGGCGAGGCCGAAAGGCGUAGUCGAUGGGAAACAGGUUAAUAUUCCUGUACUUGGUGUUACUGCGAAGGGGGGACGGAGAAGGCUAUGUUGGCCGGGCGACGGUUGUCCCGGUUUAAGCGUGUAGGCUGGUUUUCCAGGCAAAUCCGGAAAAUCAAGGCUGAGGCGUGAUGACGAGGCACUACGGUGCUGAAGCAACAAAUGCCCUGCUUCCAGGAAAAGCCUCUAAGCAUCAGGUAACAUCAAAUCGUACCCCAAACCGACACAGGUGGUCAGGUAGAGAAUACCAAGGCGCUUGAGAGAACUCGGGUGAAGGAACUAGGCAAAAUGGUGCCGUAACUUCGGGAGAAGGCACGCUGAUAUGUAGGUGAAGUCCCUCGCGGAUGGAGCUGAAAUCAGUCGAAGAUACCAGCUGGCUGCAACUGUUUAUUAAAAACACAGCACUGUGCAAACACGAAAGUGGACGUAUACGGUGUGACGCCUGCCCGGUGCCGGAAGGUUAAUUGAUGGGGUCAGCGCAAGCGAAGCUCUUGAUCGAAGCCCCGGUAAACGGCGGCCGUAACUAUAACGGUCCUAAGGUAGCGAAAUUCCUUGUCGGGUAAGUUCCGACCUGCACGAAUGGCGUAAUGAUGGCCAGGCUGUCUCCACCCGAGACUCAGUGAAAUUGAACUCGCUGUGAAGAUGCAGUGUACCCGCGGCAAGACGGAAAGACCCCGUGAACCUUUACUAUAGCUUGACACUGAACAUUGAGCCUUGAUGUGUAGGAUAGGUGGGAGGCUUGAAGUGUGGACGCCAGUCUGCAUGGAGCCGACCUUGAAAUACCACCCUUUAAUGUUUGAUGUUCUAACGUUGACCCGUAAUCCGGGUUGCGGACAGUGUCUGGUGGGUAGUUUGACUGGGGCGGUCUCCUCCUAAAGAGUAACGGAGGAGCACGAAGGUUGGCUAAUCCUGGUCGGACAUCAGGAGGUUAGUGCAAUGGCAUAAGCCAGCUUGACUGCGAGCGUGACGGCGCGAGCAGGUGCGAAAGCAGGUCAUAGUGAUCCGGUGGUUCUGAAUGGAAGGGCCAUCGCUCAACGGAUAAAAGGUACUCCGGGGAUAACAGGCUGAUACCGCCCAAGAGUUCAUAUCGACGGCGGUGUUUGGCACCUCGAUGUCGGCUCAUCACAUCCUGGGGCUGAAGUAGGUCCCAAGGGUAUGGCUGUUCGCCAUUUAAAGUGGUACGCGAGCUGGGUUUAGAACGUCGUGAGACAGUUCGGUCCCUAUCUGCCGUGGGCGCUGGAGAACUGAGGGGGGCUGCUCCUAGUACGAGAGGACCGGAGUGGACGCAUCACUGGUGUUCGGGUUGUCAUGCCAAUGGCACUGCCCGGUAGCUAAAUGCGGAAGAGAUAAGUGCUGAAAGCAUCUAAGCACGAAACUUGCCCCGAGAUGAGUUCUCCCUGACUCCUUGAGAGUCCUGAAGGAACGUUGAAGACGACGACGUUGAUAGGCCGGGUGUGUAAGCGCAGCGAUGCGUUGAGCUAACCGGUACUAAUGAACCGUGAGGCUUAACCUU
rnacentral:rRNA from 1 species